ACGGUGUUCCGCUGUGGCAUAGAUUGCGUGCAAGAGCAUCUG
rfam:Lysinibacillus macroides strain DSM 54 Scaffold1, whole genome shotgun sequence.